rnacentral:rRNA from 1 species
AGAGUUUGAUCCUGGCUCAGGAUGAACGCUGGCGGCGUGCCUAAUACAUGCAAGUCGAACGCUUCACUUCGGUGAAGAGUGGCGAACGGGUGAGUAAUACAUAAGUAACCUGGCCUUUACAGGGGGAUAACUAUUGGAAACGAUAGCUAAGACCGCAUAGGUGUGUCCAUCGCAUGAGGGACAUAUGAAAUAUGCUACGGCAUAGGUAGAGGAUGGACUUAUGGCGCAUUAGCUAGUUGGAGGGGUAACGGCCCACCAAGGCGACGAUGCGUAGCCGACCUGAGAGGGUGACCGGCCACACUGGGACUGAGACACGGCCCAGACUCCUACGGGAGGCAGCAGUAGGGAAUUUUCGGCAAUGGGGGAAACCCUGACCGAGCAACGCCGCGUGAAGGAAGAAGUAAUUCGUUAUGUAAACUUCUGUCAUAGAGGAAGAACGGUGCGUGUAGGGAAUGACAUGCAAGUGACGGUACUCUAUAAGAAAGCCACGGCUAACUACGUGCCAGCAGCCGCGGUAAUACGUAGGUGGCGAGCGUUAUCCGGAAUUAUUGGGCGUAAAGAGGGAGCAGGCGGCACUAAGGGUCUGUGGUGAAAGAUCGAAGCUUAACUUCGGUAAGCCAUGGAAACCGUAGAGCUAGAGUGUGUGAGAGGAUCGUGGAAUUCCAUGUGUAGCGGUGAAAUGCGUAGAUAUAUGGAGGAACACCAGUGGCGAAGGCGACGAUCUGGCGCAUAACUGACGCUCAGUCCCGAAAGCGUGGGGAGCAAAUAGGAUUAGAUACCCUAGUAGUCCACGCCGUAAACGAUGAGUACUAAGUGUUGGGAGUCAAAUCUCAGUGCUGCAGUUAACGCAAUAAGUACUCCGCCUGAGUAGUACGUUCGCAAGAAUGAAACUCAAAGGAAUUGACGGGGGCCCGCACAAGCGGUGGAGCAUGUGGUUUAA